CCUACGUGGGGCAGCAGUGGGGAAUAUUGCGCAAUGGGCGAAAGCCUGACGCAGCGACGCCGCGUGAGGGAUGAAGGUCUUCGGAUCGUAAACCUCUGUCAGCAGGGAAGAACGGUCACUGUGCUAAUCAGCAGUGAAUUGACGGUACCUGCAAAGGAAGCACCGGCUAACUCCGUGCCAGCAGCGGCGGUAAUACGGAGGGUGCGAGCGUUAAUCGGAAUUAGUGGGCGUAAAGCGCUCGUAGGCGGUAUAUCAAGUCAAGGGUGAAAUCCCCGGGCUUAACGUGGGAACUGCCUUUGAAACUGGCAAACUGGAGUGUGUGAGAGGUUAGUGGAAUUCCUGGUGUAGCGGUGAAAUCCGUAGAUAUCUGGCGGAACAUCAGUGGCGAAGGCGACUAUCUGGCACAUAACUGACGCUGAGGAGCGAAAGCGUGGGUAGCAAACAGGAUUAGAUACCCGUGUAGUC
rnacentral:rRNA from 1 species